AUUGAACGCUGGCGGCAGGCCUAACACAUGCAAGUCGAACGGAGUGGCGGACGGGUGAGUAAUGUCUGGGAAACUGCCUGAUGGAGGGGGAUAACGACCGGAAACGGGCGCUAAUACCGCAUACUAUCAGAUGAGCCCAGGUCGGAUUAGCUUGUGGGUGGGGUAAAGGCCUACCAAGGCGACGAUCCGUAGCUGGUCUGAGAGGAUGAACAGCCACACUGGAACUGAGACACGGUCCAGACUCCUACGGGAGGCAGCAGUGGGGAAUAUUGGACAAUGGGCGCAAGCCUGAUCCAGCCAUGCCGCGUGUGUGAAGAAGGUCUUCGGAUUGUAAAGCACUUUAAGUUGGGAGGCGUUACCAACAGAAUAAGCACCGGCUAACUUCGUGCCAGCAGCCGCGGUAAUAC
rnacentral:rRNA from 1 species